UUAAAAUGCAGACAAAGUUUAAAAAGCAAUAGAAGAGAGUUGCAGAAAAUCCAGAUUAAUAGUUAAAAGUUGAAAUAGUUUAUCCUCUUACACAGGGGUAUUAAUUACAAAGAGCAUCCUCAGUCUCAUUUGCAGAGUUUCCCUUUCACUAUCUGGAACUGAAGCAGUAGAUUAAUGAGAGAGGCUGGGAAGGUGCCACCUUGUAAGGAGCUGCAUGGAAAUGAACCACUUAAAAUGCACAAACAAGUUUUAUUGCAACUGCCAAACCUAGGAACCAUGUAACAUCCUACUAUAGAAUAUACUGUAACUAAUGACAUCAACUAUUUACACACAUUUAUUGUGUUGUUGUGUUUUGUUUUCAGAUCUCCAUAUAUAGGUGAACAUUUUGAAUUUUUUGCUAAAGAUUUCCAAAUUAACAUCUAAAGGAUUUUUUAUUUUCCUUUAUGUAUUCUCUCUGGGUUAUAUCGGUGCUACAGGGCUACUCAGCCCAUGCUGUAGCGAUUCCUGCUUAGAUGUUAUUAAUACAGUGCAGGAGAGGAUGGUAGAUACGAGUCUUGUAGAAAUGAAGCUAAUGCUGAGACUCACUGUUUUCAUUUCCCUGUGCUUUUGCAUUUAGAUUUCAUAGCACUGAAAGUCUUGGUGGGCAUAGUGUGGAUGGCUUGAUGGUGGAAAUGGAAGAUCUUGGUGGUCUUUUCCAACCUUUAUGAUUCUUUGUGAUUCCUGAGAGGAAAAAACACCAUUCCUGUUCACAGUGAAGGAGCCACAGUCCACCACCUCCAGGGUCAAGGCUUUGCCACCACCGCAGGGCAUGGAGUGCCAUAAGUAGUGCUGAAUGGAGCAAGGAGGAGGAGAUGGCCGCACACAUAGCAUGGAAGCUUUGACUAAUGGACUCCAGCUCUCAAGGCUCUUACUGUCAGCAGGAAGCUCCCGAGCAGUUCCUCACCUUCAAACUCCUUUUAAAGGUAUGGUAUUAUCAUCUUUUGCCAACAUUUCUAUUCAACUGAUAGAUUUAUGUUAUUCAUUGGAAAAAAAAAAACAAAAAUCCCACAAACCUCCCCCUGGGAAAGACAUGGGACAGGAGAACGCUCCCUGCGCUGAGAAUGUGAAGGCUAUGAAGGAAAAAACACUGUUUUUCUGUCCCAGCCCUGGAAGUGUCCCCAGAAGUGAUUUUGCCUUUUAUUAGCAGCCCACAGAGAUUAGAGCAGCCAGAGCUGUUUUCAAUCAGCCCUCAGAGACCUUUGCUCCCUUGAGCUGAGCUGCAACCAAUGUAACCUUGGUUGACUGAACUGACAUUGAACAUUGAACUGAAGGACUUUUUAAUUUUCUCUCGCCUUUUUUUUUUUUCUCCCUCUCUUUUUCAGUGUAUUUAAUACUGAUGUGGAUUAGAAAGCCUCUGAUGUAAAGGAGAGGGGGGCUCAAAUGGCAUCAGUGCUAUCAAUUUGUCUGUAACCAGUUCUUUAAGUGAGGCUUUACAGUAAGCCAGCCUGGAGCUAAGCGACUCUGCCAUCAUCAGGCUCAAUUCUGCAACACAAAAUACGGGAGGGACCAUUGCAGCUGCUCUGCAAGCCCUGGAAAUGCUGCUGAGAGCUGCAGCGGUUCCCUGCUGCAGGCACUGUGCUAGAGAGGCAUCCCGAGUGUUUGUAGUUCUCCCAUGAGAAAUUUCCUAUUGAGUACUGGAAUAUUCUAGAUCAAAACUUGGAGGGGGAGGGAGGGGAUGAAAUCUGAAGGGAAAGGCUAUCAUUGUAGCUCAUGAGCUGACAUUUCAUUCGAAGCCAAGAGAGAUAAGAAAAACAUCAAUGCAAAAUCACCUGAGUAAGUUUGGGAUGGCUUUGGCAAAUAGAGCUAUUAAGUAUUUCCAGGAGAUUUCUGCAGAUCGCCUUCCAUCUGUAUCCACAGUCCUGAUGGAGGAGCAAACAAAACACAGGUGGGUUGUUGUUCAGGGUCUCUGAAAAUGUUUUAUUCCUAAGGCUGUGCCAGCUAGCUAAGAAAAAAAAGGAAAACCUGAAUGAAAACAGUACUUAGAAUUUGAGCUGAACCCAACACAGUCUGUGAGAUAAUAGGUAGGAGCACUGGUUGGAAUCAAAUUAACCCUCAGUAGCCAGCGGUCAUUGCCAUGUGUACAAGUACAUAAAAUCUGAGUGGCAAAUGGUGUUCUGCCUGCCUCCACCAUUUUUUAUACUAGG
ensembl:lncRNA